rnacentral:rRNA from 1 species
GAGUUUGAUCGUGGCUCAGAUUGAACGCUGGCGGCAGGCCUAACACAUGCAAGUCGAGCGGAUGACGGGAGCUUGCUCCUUGAUUCAGCGGCGGACGGGUGAGUAAUGCCUGGGAAUCUGCCUGGUAGUGGGGGGACAACGUUUCGAAAGGAACGCUAAUACCGCAUACGUCCUACGGGAGAAAGCAGGGGACCUUCGGGCCUUGCGCUAUCAGAUGAGCCUAGGUCGGAUUAGCUAGUUGGUGGGGUAAUGGCUCACCAAGGCGACGAUCCGUAACUGGUCUGAGAGGAUGAUCAGUCACACUGGAACUGAGACACGGUCCAGACUCCUACGGGAGGCAGCAGUGGGGAAUAUUGGACAAUGGGCGAAAGCCUGAUCCAGCCAUGCCGCGUGUGUGAAGAAGGUCUUCGGAUUGUAAAGCACUUUAAGUUGGGUAGGAAGGGCAGUAAGUUAAAGUACCUUAGCUAGUUUUGACGUUACCGUACAGAAUAAGCA